AUUGAACGCUGGCGGCAGGCCUAACACAUGCAAGUCGAGCGAGCGGCGGAUGGGUGAGUAAUGUCUGGGCAACUGCCUGAUGGAGGGGGAUAACUACUGGAAACGGUAGCUAAUACCGCAUACCAUCAGAUGGGCCCAGAUGGGAAUAUCUUGUAGGAGGGGUAAUGGCUCACCUAGGCGACUAUCUCUAGCGGGUCUGAGGAUUACCAGCCACACUGGAACUGAGACACGGUCCAGACUCCUACGGGAGGCAGCAGUGGGGAAUAUUGCACAAUGGGCGCAAGCCUGAUACAGCCAUGCCGCGUGUGUGAAGAAGGCCUUCGGGUUGUAAAGCACUUUAAGCUAGGAGGCGUUACUCGCAGAAGAAGCACCGGCUAACUCCGUGCCAGCAGCCGCGGUAAUUC
rnacentral:rRNA from 1 species